rnacentral:tRNA from 1 species
UCCCUGGUGGCCCAGUAGUUAGGACUCUGCUUUCACUGCUGAGGGCCUGGGUUCGAUCCCUGGCCAGGGAG